CUGUUCCCGGAGUGGAGCCGCCCGGCGGGUGGAGCCUGGCGGCCCCGCCCGAGCCGCCCGCCCGCUCCCGCCGCGUGCGAAGUAGUGGCAGCCGGUGCCGCUCGGCCGCCGCCCGCUCCCGGCGCCCCAGCGCGGCACGCGUGCCCAGGCCCGCCGGCGCCAGGUUGUCUUCUGAAUUUUGUGUCUGAAGGUAUCCUCUUGCUUUCUCAGCAAAUCAUGGACAUCGUUGGCUUUCUGAAGUCUCAAUUCAUUUGCCACCUUCUGAUCUGCUACAUAUUUAUAGUGUCAGGACUGAUCAUUAACUUCAUGCAACUCUUUACACUUAUACUUUGGCCAAUCAACAAGCAACUGUUCAGGAAGAUCAACUGCAGGCUGGCUUACUGCAUUUCAAGCCAGAUGGUGAUGUUGCUGGAAUGGUGGUCAGGCACCGACUGCACCCUUUACACUGAUCCGGAGAGUUACCACAAGUAUGGGAAGGAGAAUGCCAUUGUAAUCCUUAAUCACAACUUUGAAAUUGACUUUCUCUGUGGUUGGAACUUUUGUGAGAGAUUUGGGGUCUUGGGGAGUUCCAAAGUGCUUGCAAAGAAGGAGCUCUCCUACAUGCCUAUCAUUGGCUGGAUGUGGUAUUUCCUAGAGAUAGUCUUCUGCAAGCGCAAGUGGGAGGAAGAUCGGAAAACUGUGGUACAGAAGUUGCUCAAUCUCCGUGACUACCCUGAAGACUUUUGGUUCCUGAUUCAUUGUGAGGGCACAAGGUUCACAGAACAGAAGCACCAGAUCAGCAUGAAGGUAGCUGAAGCCAAAGGUCUGCCCAAGCUCAAGUACCACCUCCUGCCACGAACGAAAGGAUUUGCUGUCACCGUGCAGUGUUUGAGAAAUGUAGUUUCUGCAGUCUAUGAUUCUACCCUUAAUUUUAGAAAUAAUGAAAAUCCAACGUUGCUGGGAGUUCUAAAUGGAAAGAAGUAUCAUGCAGAUUUAUAUGUAAGGCGGAUUCCACUAGAGGAUGUCCCAGAAGAUGAGCAGGAAUGUUCUAUCUGGCUUCACAAACUAUAUCAAGAAAAGGAUGCAUUCCAGGAAGAAUAUUACCGCACAGGAACCUACCCAGCAGUCCCUACAAUACCACCCCGUCGACCAUGGACACUUUUGAACUGGCUUUUCUGGGCCUUAUUGCUGCUGUAUCCCUUGUUCCAGCUGCUCAUCAACAUGAUCAACAGUGGAUCAUCAUUGACACUGGCUAGUUUUGCAUUUGUCAUUAUAAUAGCUCACCUGCUACUCCAGAAUCAGGAAAUCUACUGCAGUCCCUAGUACCCAUUGUAGUAGAUUGCUGGUUUGAAGAGUGGGUUUCAGGACCUGAUACAGGUGCAGCUUCUGUUGGUGUCAGAUGGAUGAUCGGGGUUACAGAAAUUAACAAGGGCUCCACCUAUGGCAACAAUGACAACAAGCAGAAACAAAAGUAGCACCUUCAGAGACUGCUUCAAUCCAGAGGGAACAAAUGCAACUGCUGAAAACUCUUAAGUGCAUAUCACAGUUCUUCAAGUGAGAUCAGAGGAUGAAUAAUUGCUGUGCAUAUCUGAAUUUGUGCUCCUGUUGUUUUCCUCUGGGGUUUGGGCUGGAUGACAUGCUGGAAAGAUGCACUCCUUCGUAUACUCUCAACAACAGAUUUGCACAUGUGUGGUUGGUUUGUUUUCCUAUGAAGUGUCUUAAGUUUUGAAGAAAAAAAAAAAUUCCAGCGUGCUUGUAUGAAGAGACUCUACCUGGAAACUAACCAGAGGUACAAGCUUUAAUGUCAGAAGAUUGUUACAAGAUGAUUAAACUUGAUAGUUGUGUAGCUCACACAGUUUAACAACCAUAAUCUGUCAGUGUUUAAAUACAGUACAGCAGGAUGCUGUGCUUGGUUAUAGCAGUAUUGGACUGAAGCAGCUCUGCUGAACUGGCAGAACUACAGUGGAGUUUUUGUACAUCUUGAACUUAUUCCCACAGUGUGCACUACAUGGGUCCUUCAAAACUUCAGCCAGACCCUGGACAUGCAGACAUCGGAGCCUGGCAGUAGCAGAACCUGGAUUAGAAUUUGGCCUUGUGGCCUGAGCAGAGCUAAGUUACCCAUUGCCCUCUCUUUCCCCAGGCCAUACAUCUGAGGGAUAGCUGAAACUUGUAGUUCUUCAGAAUAAAUGUAAUUUUUAAUUUGGAAAAAUUGAAGUAGUAAAAUGCCUUUUGGCUUUAAAUGCUACUUAAAAUUCCAGGCCAUCCUAACAAUUUCAGAAAGAAAAUAACUGGGCAUGGUGUAGUGGAAUAAUGCAAAGUGUGCAGAAUGUAUGCCCCAUACCCAUACUGUUGUGAUCCUAAUUAACCUGCUUGUCUGUCUUUUCUGAUAAAUUAGUUUACUUGGUGCCUCAUAACAGCCAGCCUGAAGUAAUAGUAAAUUAUUUUCUUCUGAGGAGGAGGGGGAACUAGGAGAGAGACCUAGGACAGUGGGUAUGGCUGAUUUUUUUGUCUGUCUUGAUAUGACACCCCUCUGAAUUAAAUAAAACUAGAAUCAAGCUCUGAGGAAAGAGACAUGACAUUCCCAGCAUUGAUUUCGGGGCAGCUGCCCCCUGUUUUUAAACUUCCAGAGUUAAGGAUCUGCAGGUAACUCGAAAUAACUUGUUUAAAGCAGAAAAAAAAAAAAAAGGAAAAGUGGGGACAUUAACUAACAGCAAAUAUGAUUGGAAAAAAAAUCACAAUUUUUUUAAAGUCUACAGAUCCUGACAUUGAGCAGUAGCAGUUGUGGUUGACAGUUUCAAAGAUAGUCCAUAUUCACUCAGCACAGAGCUAAACCAUGAUAGUCUUUAGUGAGGAAAGUGAGUAGUCUUACUCUAGCAGCUGGUAUAAAAACAUUGCUCUUUUCAUGUAGUAAGACUGAGGCCAGAAGAAAGAGGCUAAUACAACAAUAUGAAUCACUCCAUGAAAUAUGUAUUUGUUAUUCAGUACAUCAGAUAAUCUAGAAACUCACCUUUUUAAUGUGCAGCACCUAAAAAGGUGAAGUAAUGCUUUUAGCAUGGAGCAAUAAGUGAAGUUUAGGGAUAGUGGAGGCAGUAACAUUUCCAAGAUGAAGGAAGGCAUAGGCAGUGUGAGAGACUGCUCUCAGGGGCUUUUUGCCUCAACAUCUUGUGUAUACAUGCAUUCCCUAUGUUCUGAAGCUUUCGGGAGCAUCUCGUUCAAUGUCAUGAACAGAAACAUGGGCUCAGAUGUUUUUAGAGCCCAAGAGUAGAAAAUACUGUAAUGUUUACAAAUACUGUAAUGUUUAGAGUGCCCUGUAACACUCUUACUGAGUAUUGCAUCUUGUAGUAAUGAUCAGGCAUAUUACAAGGCAGACCUGAAGCCACUGUACACAAGAGCUGGAAAACAGCUGGGAGGGGAGAAAGGAAAGGCCUCUCCAGGGUAGCAUUUUACUGUGAACAUUACCUGGCAGGCCCAGUGGCCUUUUCUCAGGGUGGGAAGUGAGCAGUUCUGAGCAGCAAAUACAUAGUCCUGGAGUAACAGGCUCUUGUGUCUUCCUGAGAGCCACAGACUUAACAUGCAGUAAAGAAGACAUCUGGCAUUCCUUAUGAAUCUUAGUCCUUUCCUCUCCAGCUGUGUGCAGUGCCCUUCUCCCAGAGGAAAGUACCAAACAAGUAAAUAUUUCUGAAAGAGUACUAAGAUGAUUUUAUACCCAUUUCCCUGGGACCAACUCUUAGAACAGGCUGAAGGCCAAACAUGCCACUCCUGGAUCCAUCCUCCUAAGCACUUGUGCAAGCCCUGGCACACCACUGAGGCCCUUCCAGCACUCACUGACAGAGAAAGCUUAAUGGUCCUUGCCAAAGUUAAACUUCUCCAGUUCACUGUAUUAAAAGAAUGACAUAGGUUAUUAGGAAGCAGUGUUUGCCCCUCAUCCCCACAAGCAACUGUAUGUUCUAAGACUGCCUUAACAAAAUUAGUCUUAAUGUUUGUUUAUACAAAAAUAAAAUUAUAAAAAGCUAA